CAGACAUCACAGAUAAACGGGCUGAUUUUUCAAAUUACGGAAAGUGUGUGGAUGUGUUUGCCCCUGGUGUUGACAUCCCGAGCGCAUGGAUCGGAGGCCCAGAAGAAACCCGUAUACUCAGUGGUACAUCUAUGGCUUGUCCUCAUGUUGCAGGGGCUGCAGCUAUCGCACUAGGUAACACACGUGGGCAAUCACCAACACAACUCAAGCAGGAGAUCAUAGACAACGCCACGACAGACGUCAUUUCGAAAGUCGGACAACGUUCGCCGAAUCGAUUACUCUACGUUCCAUAGAAUACUGUAAAUUCCGCCUGGAUUACUAUACCAUAAGAAUAACUAUAAUUAGUGAUCACUGUGAGUCUUUGAUAUAGUAUUUUAACAAAGCCGUGUGGAUCAUAAUCAAAUGAUUGGCUGGGGUAGCUGGGGUAGCUGGGGUAACUAAUGCUAUACGCAUUAGUUGAAAUCCCGUGCAUUAUAUUCUUCAUGGAAAACAACCUCGUAAUAGAACGACACAUUUGGCAUAUACAUACUGGCAAAUUAUGAGUUUCUUUCAGCAGAGUUAAUUUCACUGAUGCCAAAAGCCCACAUGAAAUGGAAUAUAAUAGUCUUUAUAGAUUUAUGAAAUAUAUUUGCAUGACAAAUUCUGCAAUUUACUGAAUUUCAAAUCAACAGUCCGGACGCACAAUGUUCUGGGCUAUAAUUUUUUUUUUCUUCAUAUCUUUCCCUCCUGGAUUUUAUUUGUUUUCAUUUGCAACAAAUUAACAAACCUAUUUUCUUCUUAUUAUUAUAUGAAUAGAUUUGCAUGAUAAAUAGACAGAAAUACAAUACAAAAAGCACGGACAUGAAGGUAAAGGUUAUCAAUAAUAGGCUGUAUUCUUCUAAGAACGUACAUAUAUUAUUUGUAAAUGUCCUUGUGAAGUUGUCAGAGUCACUUUUAUAACAAAUUUCGUGUAUUUAAUAUGUUUGUAUCUCUAAAUAUGUUCCCUAAAUAUAUACAUUUUGUUUUUAAAAAA